UGUUAUAACCAGAGGCAUCAAUAGGCCUACAUGUACAGCAUUGUUUUCCUAGUCAUACCACCUGUUAUCCUAAGUAUACAUAUAAAUAGAGAGCAUUACCAUCAAAAACUGUAUAUCUUGGUCAAGACAUAAUCACUACGACUCAAAAUGCAAAUCAAAUACAUAAUUACAUUGGUGAUUCUUGGAUUGGCUUUGGUGGCGUCACCAGCCCAGGCAAAUACAACUUGUUGUCAGUUACGAUUCGCUGACUGUCAAUUUACAUGCCGGAACUAUGCCAAGAACAAGACAGCCUGCACUCGGUAUUGUGAGAGGUCACUAGCAACAUGUGCAAAGAGAUGAGACAAAGUUAAAAAGACAUCAAACAAUGCAAUAUUGGCUUAAUUUGGAUUGUUAAUUCUAAAAUGUAUUUUGAAUAAUGAAGAUUCUUACUGUUUAGUGAAUACAUCUUUAUAUUACAUAUGGGAAGAUUCUUUCAUUUAUGAAUAAAUAAUAUAGUUAUACUA